AGAAAAUAAGCAAUUUUUCAGUAAUAGUGUGCUGUGCCACUUUUGUAUGUUUAUGACUCAUUUUGUACGCAAGUGGUUUUUAAGGGAGCUGAAACUUGGGAGUACACAAGACAAAUCAGACUCCUGAAAGGGGUACAGUGGCCUGGAAAGAUUGAGAACCACUGUUCUAGAGUUUCAGAGUAGCAGCCGUGUUAGUCUGUAUCCGCAAAAAGA